rnacentral:tRNA from 1 species
AGUUAAUGAACUUGUAAAAGUAUAUAUUUUGAAAAUAUAAUAAAGGAAUAAAUCCCCUAUUGACUU